CAGCAGCCGCGGGAAUACGGAGGGUGCAAGCGUUAAUCGGAAUUACUGGGCGUAAAGGGUGCGUAGGUGGCGUGGUAAGUCAGAUGUGAAAGCCCGGGGCUCAACCUCGGAAUUGCAUCCGAUACUACCAUGCUAGAGUACUGAAGAGGUGACUAGAAUUCUCGGUGUAGCAGUGAAAUGCGUAGAUAUCGAGAGGAAUACCAAAGGCGAAGGCAGGUCACUGGGCAGUUACUGACACUGAGGCACGAAGGCUAGGGGAGCAAACGGGAUUAGAGACCCCGGUAGUCCCUGUCUCUUAUAC
rnacentral:rRNA from 1 species